CUGACUGCCACUGGGGAAAGAUUUCCUUCUAGAGGUCCCUCUUUGGUGGAGUUUUCCCCUGGGAGCUGAGAUGUUCAGUGAUGGGCUUGUUUAUCACCACCUACAAUAAAUUCAUCUUCAGCAGUCAUGAACUUUGCUCCUUAAAGUGUCUCUGAAGAUCACUUUUCUGUAGGCACUAGUGCAUUGUCCUUCAGGUUUUAACCUGAGAAAUAAAUGUGAAGAUAACAUCGAGUGGUCUGUAUGAACAGAGAAUCAAAGAAACUAGAGCCUAGGUGCUCAAGAGGUGCUAGAAAGAAUAACGGUAUUGAAGACAGGGUGAAGAAGAACUAUGAAGGUCUUGGAAAUCAUCCAGAAGAGCUACACAUCUUGAAGGAAUAAGCCAUUGGGAUAUUAAGAAGGUUGAAAAUCAAGACUAUGCAUAAUAGCUGGUUUUGUAUGAUCAGAAAGCUGUCUUAGGAUAUCAAGUAUGUCAGCUUGUUUUCCCAGAACAUUGAUUCAACUUUACCUUGUGUGUAAUCAUCGCUAACAUGCGGGGUAUUUCCAGGAAAAUGUGCUCUUUGAAUUGAUGUCUGGCUUCACAACAGGCAUAGCAGUGCUAUAUUGGAGCAUCACAAUGCAUACUAACAUGGCACCUCUAACUGUUGCAGCAAACAGAUGUUGCUUUUGCAAGCUGAGUUCUGUUCAACAUUUCUGUUGGUUGGCACAUUCCAUGUAUCACAUCUUCACAUGUUCAGUUUCAGCCAUUUUUGUUCAAUUCUACAGAUUUAAGUUUUGAUACUCUUGAGGAAGGCAUUUGUAUGGUUUUUAUGCAUUGUUGUGAUAUGACUUUGACAUAUUAAAGCUCUGGAAUGAGGUUGCAAUAUAUUCAUUUUAACUUCC